rnacentral:rRNA from 1 species
AUUGAACGCUGGCGGCAGGCCUAACACAUGCAAGUCGAGCGAGCGGCGGACGGGUGAGUAAUGUCUGGGAAACUGACUGAUGGAGGGGGAUAACUACUGGAAACGGUAGCUAAUACCGCAUACCAUACGAUGUGUACAGAUGGGGUUAGUUAGUAGGUGGGGUAAUGGCUCACCCAGGCGACGAUACCUAGCUGGGCUGAGAGGAUGACCCGCCACACUGUAACGGAGACACGGUCCAGACUCCUACGGGAUGCAGCAGUGGGGAAUAUUGCACAAUGGGAGCAAGCCUGAUGCAGCCAUGCCGCGGGUGUGAAGAAGGCCUUCGGGUUGUAAAGCACUUUCAGCGAGGAGGCGUUACCCGCAGAAGAAGCACCGGCUAACUCCGUGCCAGCAGCCGCGGUAAUUC